rfam:Rhizophagus irregularis DAOM 181602 strain DAOM 197198 GLOINscaffold_25536_Cont25351, whole genome shotgun sequence.
AGUCAUGAAGGCGCUCGCAGAUCGUAAUAAACUUUCACCUUUUUUUCACUAAAGGUUACCAUGUGAAGUACCUCAAUGCAGUGGAAUAAUGAAUUGUUGGAAAUUUUCCUUUAAGAAAAUU